rnacentral:rRNA from 1 species
GAUAAACGCUGGCGGCGUGCCUAAAACAUGCAAGUCGAACGGUUGCUCACUUUCGGGUGGGUGAUAGUGGCGGACGGCUGAGUAACACGUGGGUGACCUGCCCUCGAGCGGGGGAUAACUGCCCGAAAGGGUGGCUAAUACCGCAGACAUCGCGCAUUCGGUUGUGCGAUUGAACCUCCGGGGUUCGGGGAGGGGCCCGCGGUCGAUUAGCUGGUUGGUGGGGUAACGGCCUACCAAGGCAUCGAUCGAUAGCUGGUCUGAGAGGAUGAUCAGCCAGACUGGGACUGCGAACGGCCCAGACUCCUACGGGAGGCAGCAGUUAGGAAUUUUGGGCAAUGGGCGAAAGCCUGACCCAGCAACGCCGCGUGGGUGAUGAAGGCCCUCGGGUCGUAAAGCCCUUUUCCCAGGGACGAUGGUGACGGUACCUGGGGAAUCAGCCCCGGCUAACUACGUGCCAGCCGCCGCAGUAAAAC